AUCAACGCUGGCGGCGUGCCUAACACAUGCAAGUCCGAACGAGAAAGGGGCUUCGGCCCUGAGUAAAGUGGGCGCACGGGUGAGUAAACACGUGACUAACCUACCCUGGAGUGGGGAAUAACUGAGGGGAAAACCUUAGCUAAUACCGCAUAACACCUACGGGUCAAAGGGAGCAAUUCGCUUCAGGAGGGGGGUCGCGGCCGAUUAGCUAGUUGGGCGGGGUAAUGGCCCACCAAGGCAGUGAUCGGUAUCCGGCCUGAGAGGGGCGCACGGACACACUGGAACCUGAAACACGGUCCAGACUCCUACGGGAGGCAGCAGUGGGGAAUUUUGCGCAAUGGGGGAAAACCCUGACGCAGCAAACGCCGCGUGGAGGAUGAGAUCCCUUGGGAUGUAAACUCCUUUCGAUCGGGACGAUUAUGACGGUACCGGAAGAAGAAGCCCCGGCUAACUUCGUGCCAGCAGCCGCGGUAAUACGAGGGGGGCAAGCGUUGUUCGGAAUUAUUGGGCGUAAAGGGAGCGUAGGCGGUUUUGUAAGUCGUGUGUGGAAUCUUCGGGCUCAACUCGAAGUCUGCACACGAAACUGCAGGGCUUGAGUAUGGGAAGAGGUGAGUGGAAUUCCCGGUUGUAGCGGUGAAAUGCGUAGAUAUCGGGAGGAAACACCUGUGGCGAAAGCGGCUCACUGGACCAUUACUGACGCUGAGACUCGAAAGCUAGGGGAGCAAACAGGAUUAGAUACCCUGGUAGUCCUAGGCCCUAAACGAUGACUGCUUGAUGUGGCGGGUACCCAAUCCCGCCCGUGUCGAAGCUAACGCGAUAAAGCAGUCCGCCUGGGGAGUACGGUCGCAAGGCUGAAACUCAAAGGAAUUGAACGGGGGCCCGCACAAGCGGUGGAGCAUGUGGUUUAAUUUCGACGCAACACGAAGAAACCUUACCUGGGCUCGAAAUGUACAGGAAUCCGGUGGGAAACAUCGGCGCCCCGCAAGGGGGCCUGUAUAUAGGUGCUGCAUGGCUGUCGUCAGCUCGUGUCGUGAGAUGUUGGGGUUAAGUCCCGCCAACGAGCGCAACCCUUACCCCCCAGUUGCCAUCAUUUAGUUGGGCACUCUGGUGGAACCGCCUCGGAUAACGGGGAGGAAGGUGGGGGAUGGACGUCAAGUCCUCAUGGCCUUUUAUGUCCAGGGCUACACACGUGCUACAAUGGCCGGUACAAACCGUCGCAAACCCGUGAGGGGGAGGCUAAUCGGAAAAAAAGCCGGCCUCAGUUCGGAUUGCAGUCUGCAACUCGACUGGCAUGAAGCUGGAAUCGCUAGUAAUCGCGGAUCAGAAUGCCGCGGUGAAUACGUUCCCGGGCCUUGUACACACCGCCCGUCCACAUCACGAAAGUGGGUUGCACUAGAAGCCGGUGGGCUAACCGCAAGGAGGCAGCCGUCCAAGGUGUAAUUCAUGAUUGGGGUG
rnacentral:rRNA from 1 species